GCUUACGGCCAUACCACCCUGAACACGCCCGAUCUCGUCCGAUCUAGAAGCUAAGCAGGGUAGGGCCUGGUUAGUAUUGGAUGGGAGACCGCCUGGGAAUACCAGGUGCUGUAAGCU
rnacentral:rRNA from 1 species